rnacentral:rRNA from 1 species
AACGAACGCUGGCGGCAGGCCUAACACAUGCAAGUCGAGCGCCCCGCAAGGGGAGCGGCGGACGGGUGAGUAACGCGUGGGAAUAUGCCCUUUGCUACGGAAUAGUCUCGGGAAACUGGGGGUAAUACCGUAUACGCCCUUUGGGGGAAAGAUUUAUCGGCGAAGGAUUAGCCCGCGUUGGAUUAGGUAGUUGGUGGGGUAAUGGCCUACCAAGCCGACGAUCCAUAGCUGGUGUGAGAGGAUGAUCAGCCACACUGGGACUGAGACACGGCCCAGACUCCUACGGGAGGCAGCAGUAGGGAAUCUUAGACAAUGGGGGCAACCCUGAUCUAGCCAUGCCGCGUGAGUGAUGAAGGCCUUAGGGUUGUAAAUCUCUUUCAGCUGGGAAGAUAAUGACGGUACCAGCAGAAGAAGCCCCGGCUAACUCCGUG